AGAUGUCUUUCUCAGUUGCUCUCUACCAUAUUUUUUGAGACAGGGCCUCUCAUUGAACCAGGAGGUCAUGGAUUCAGCCAGGCUAACUCCUGGGAUCCGAUCUGCUCGCCUCUUGCCUGAUCCUCCCACCCCUACCCCACAGGACUGGGAUUACAGGUACAAGCCUGUACCUAGCUGUUAGGUGGUACUCGGGAUCUGAACUGGGAUUUUCAUGCUUGCAAAGGUGAAUCUCUCCCCGCCCACUCAGAGGCUUCCAAGCUAAAGUUGAGGAACUGAUUUAAAGACAAACUCCCAGGUCCUUAACAUUUUAUCGUAAAGCUGGCUUUUAUGUCUUUCUGACAGGAAUGCUGGUGAGGAUGCACUUGUGGGGGUGGGACCACGGGACAGACCAGGGAUCUGCUCUGGGUCAGAUAGUGAGGUCAGUGGCAAGAGGGAAGUAGUGAGAAUCAACUCAAAGAGAUUCUUAGAUUCAGUGUUGUUCUGUCCUGGGGAGCACACAGGAGGAAGCAGGGAAGCGCUCCAUCUGGCUUAGGAUCUGUCCUCAGAUCCUGAGUACCACAUAACAGCUAGGUACAGCCUGGGGCUGCCAUGCCCAAGGCCCACAGAUGCCAGGCCACGAACACAGAGAAGACACACACAGUCUAUCAUUCCAAUUGGCUCAGCUCCCCCCUCUCCCCGUCAUCCCCUUCCCCCGGGAUGUGUGUGUGGUGAGAGAGGAGAUUGCAACAGAAAGUGACAGGGCUGAUUAAAGGCACAGCAAAUCAGGGCCACAAGGAAAGGUUAAAGGGAUGGCAGCUAUUUAGCCUGGAGAGGGGUGGUGCGGAACAGUUCCCGUCCAGUCUGUGCAGACUGGUUAGUAGAUGCAUGCAAGGCAGCCACCCCACUUAGCCACAGAUCUGGAGAUGACGGCACCCCCAAACUGGCCAAGCACUUCUGUGGGGUGGGGGCGAGGCUGCUCUGGAGACAGGCGGAGGAGGAGGCGUAAUUAUCAAGGCUCUUCUGUGGUCUCUGAAGGCCCCUCUCCAUUCCCCUUUGUUUUCUGCAUCUGUCAUUAUGUCGUGCAAACCACAGCCGGGCCUUUUGACAGCAUCGAUAUCUGCUUUCCUACACACACUUGGAAGGUAAUGUGGCUGUAAAUUGAACAAGUUAGAUAAAUGCCAGUACAAAGAAGAGAUUGUGUCUAGUUUUGUAGAGCCUUGUGACGGCCUCGUCCCCAACCGGCAUGAGUCUUCCUUUCCUCCACCACCUCCGGCCUUCUCUGGUCUAUCUGCUUCCUGAUUGACAGCCCAGGAGUCCUUAUUUGCUCUGCUUUUUCCUGAAUCUAUCACUCUUGACACUUUGCAAGGCCUUUUGCUUCAUUUCAAUUGCUUUUUGUUUCUUUGUUUUGGUUUUGUUUUUGUUUUUGUUGGAAACAUUUUCUCUUUCUGCUAGGUCAAGCUUUCUUACUCCUAUGGCCAGGCCAACAUAGCAUAUACAAAGGCCAGCCAGCCUCAGUUUCUCCUGGGACACACCCAGAGGCCUUUGGCCUGAGCCUCCUCAGAAUCCUGUAACUAGAGCCUACUCUGAUUCUCAACUGAGAACGGAAAGGAAUAUGGCUGUGGAAGGAAGCAGGGUCCCUACGAGCCAUUCUUCCACAGGCUUCUGUCCUAGCAUUGGGCUAUGAUCGGGUCGGGGGCUGGGACGUCCCGUGGUAAACUGUAUUUUGUUUUAGUCUUGCUAUUGAAGAAUUGAGAGUAUCAGCAAACUUCACCUGACAGGAGCAUGGUCUCUUGAGUUGACUCCAAAGGCCGCCUUCCCACCAAGACGUUCUUCAGGAAGCAAGAAAGGUAGGUCUCCCCACCUGCCAUUACCACACCAGGGACCACAUCUGCCAUGGCGAGCCCAGCUCAGGAGGUCAAAGGCAGCAACGAGCAUGUGACAGAGGCUUGGGGCUAGACAUGGGCAGAGACAACUCAGUGAAGAAUCCUGAGACACGCUGAGCCCAGAGCGAAUCUCUGUGUUCUCCCUGUAGUGGUGGGGACAGGCAGAAGGGACGUCCGGCUUGAAUUCUUUAGGGCUCGGCAGCAUGCGGCUCAGGGAUGACACCCACCAGGACACAGUGCUCAAGAAGACAGGAACAUAGAACUGCCUGCAAUUCUGGAGCUUUUAUGAUCCCUUCUCUAAGAGGUUACACUUCUGGUGACGAGACAAGACUGGAAAUUCAUGGAGCUGCCACAGAGACAAUUUGUUCUCAACGUGAGUUAUCAGAUGGAAUGAGGGAGCCAAGGAAGAGGUUGUGCAGGUCUGGGCCUCUGAGACCUGGGCAUCCCUCAUUUUAAUGCACAUCCAGUGUCCCCAACUCUGGCUGCCCGCUGUUCUUGGCAGUGACCAGUUUGACAGGGACUAGAUGGCGUGGGCUGCAUUUGCCUUGGUGUGUUGCUACCUCUCUUGAUGGUGAUGCUAGGCUUCUUCUCCUUCUUCUUCUUCUUCCUCCUCCUCCUCUCUUCCUCUCGAUUCUGAUCUCUUCUGCUUCUUCCCCCCACAAGCACAGGGGGAGCACAGGGGUCCUUGAAUCUGCAGAGAGGCCUGUCCAUCUCUGUGCUCCAUUCCACUGGAAAACUCAGAACAAUUCCUAUUAUUUUCGGUUCCCAGACCUUGAAUGUGUCAGCCUUCAGGUUCACUUCCUACGCCUCUCUCCGGCGCCCGGAUCUGCAAGUAAUUUAACCUUGUUUUUAUAGAGCGCAAAGACGUCCCGCUUGUUUACACUGGAGACAAAUUUUCCUCAAUUGACAUAGUCCUAUUGAUGAAAUAAUGACUUUCUUCCUCAUUUAAAGGUAAUUUUGGCUGGUGUCAUGACACGCAGGAGAAAGUGAAAGGCCCCUGUGUCCCACUGCUGAAGGGCAGGCUCUUGCGGCUCCGAGCCUAGGCUUUCUCUCACCUGUUCUGAAGCAUCUCCGGCGGUCCAGGGAGGCUGCUGCCCAGACCAGAGGAGGUUGGCCAAACUAAACAGCCAGUUCUUGAUUAGGGAAAUCAGAAAGCAACCUUGACUGGGUAAUGAAUGCCAAGGUUGGGCAGGACAGAUGUACUUUGUAUCAACAAUGGCUUGAUUUACUGUCCAGAUUCUUAACAUCUAAUCAGCUAGGGCCUGCACUUCCACUUUUUUUAUUUAUUCAUUUUUUAAGGUCACAUCACAUGACAGCCAGGACAUGCUAUUUUGGUCAAGGAUUUAAAAUCAAAGGGAUGGAGUGGAGAGUCAGGGAGAAUGGCAGGGGACUGCCCAUAUAGAAGGAGCACACAGAAGAGGGGUGGGGGAAACCCUUAGCUUCCUCUGAGCCCAGUUGCUUGUGAGGAAGCAGGGAGGGCCAGACCUUCUAAGACUUUGUCCCUUCAGUUCUGUGAUGCAAGGAGCCAAGAGGCCUCUGUUCAUUCUUGCUUCCGUUCCGGGUCCUUGGGCUGUGUAUUUUGAUAACGAUAAGAACAGAGGACAUCUGGGUGGAUGCGCCCUCUCCCAUUACUUUUCAGUGAGGUCGGGACAAUACAUUCUGUGUUAGCAGCGCUGUUUGAGAACAAGAUAUCCUCAUAUGUUCUUGGGGUUGAGGGGGUUGGAAUGUAUAUUAUGCAAUAACUUUUAAAAUAGUUUAGUAGAAACUUGGGUUGUAGCUCAGGGCUAGGAGGCUUGUUUAGUGCGUGCAAGGUCUAGGUUUGAUCUAUAUCACUACAGAAACGUUUUAAGAAAAAAAGAUAAUUUGUAAAUACUCGUGGAUAUAGUUCUAAAUGCAAACCCAGAGUAGCAUAGAUACUGUGGUCUCACAGUACCUAAAUGUUACUGGCUGACAUAGUUCAGGUUGUUCAGUCUGUUGCAGACACUCAAGAAGCAUUCCGUUGUUUUCUCGUUUUCUCUUCUCCAGAGGUUGACAGGCGUUUUUUUGUUUGUUUGUUUGUUUGUUUGUUUUUGAAGAGCCAGAGAGUAAAUAUUUCAAGCUCUUCGGGGCUAGGGUACAGCCUCUGUUAGAGGAAACAUGGAAAUGUGUGUGGUUGUGUUCCCAUAAACUUUGUGGGCCUGGAAUUGGGAUUUCACAUUCUCCCUGUGAGUCACAAGGUCUUCUUCUCUUGAUUUUGCUGCUCACUUAGAAUAUAAAAAUCCAUUUUUUUCCCUCAUAGGUGGUGAGGUAGACUUGGCCGAUAGAUGGCGGGUCUGUUCUUUGGGAUAGUCCUUAGGGAAGAACUAUUAACAGACAAGGAAGUCAAGACUUAAAGUAGAUAAGAACUAGAAUACUGUCUUCUUUUGGAUUCAGGGUCUCUUGUAUCCAGGCUGGCUUCAGACUCGAUGUGCACCAGCAUGCACAGUUUACGAGCUAUGCUGGGGAUCGAGGCCAAAGCUUCGUGCACUCUACACAAGCAGCUUACCAACUGGACCACAUCGUUAGCCCAAGCAGAUGAUCUUUUCUACUAGCUUGAACUUUUCUGAGACAUCAAAUAGACUUGGGGAUUAGGUUCCCUAUUUUUAAUGGCCAUUACAGAGAGAUGCUUCAUGAUGAUUCAGAUUUAAAACAUACGAGGAAAGACCAAUCCUUGAAAGGGCUAUGAGAUCUCAGGCUGGCCUAGGAGUUAUGCAGGACAAUGGUGUUGAAGGGCAUUGGCUGGAAGUAAGAAAGGAGAAAAAAGAGAGAGAAACCUGUUCUGUGAGUGUUGGGUUGUAGAUGAGGCUAAGAUCUCUUGUUUGUUGGGAACAGGGGGAUGUCAUCUAGGUAGGAUGGAGUCCAGGCUGAGAGAGUAAGGGGAAGCCUGCCGUGACUACAGUCUCCUCCCACUCUGUGGUUAACGUUGAUACAUUUUGGAAAGUUCUCUACUGCUUCCUCUAACUCUUAAUGUUUCUAAGAUGAGCAGAUUUUUUUUCUCCAGAGCCAAACUGUCUCAUUCCAGGGCUGGUUGCAGGCCUGUCCUGUUCCCUGGCCAGACUGAGGGGAGACUCAAGAACACCCUCUGAGACAGGGCCUCAGUGAGUCCAAUCCUGUUAGGAGUGUUAGUGGGUGUUGGUGCUGAGGACCACAGAGGAAGGAGGGAGGGAGGCAUUAUAGCCCCUUCACCAGUGUAGUUAGCGUCUGAAGGGCAACUAAUAUGUGUGGGCUUCAAAUCGAGUAGCGUCCUGUGAGGCACUGGGAUUCUGUAGCUGGAUAUUGAAGCUGAGGCUCAGGAUAGGGAGUAACCAAAGCGUGGUCAUACCUGUCCAAUCCUGUCUGCCCUCUGCCUUGCAGCAUCAGACCCCUACAUGAUGCUGGGCAGAGGACAACUGCAGUUCUUGCCUGAACCCUUGGUGCUGGGUGACUUGAGUAAGUGGCCUGACCUCUCUGAGUUUGUGUUUCUUCUCUUAUAUCAUAGUUUCCAUGAACAGAAAAGGAGUGCCACAAGAACGUGUCUAAAAAGUGCCAGGUACAAGUUUUCUGUACAAAUGCCUUCCGCCAUCUCUUUCAAAGUGAUCUGGUUUUGUGACGUUGACUGACUAAUUUGUCUUCAGUUUGGAUUUUCCAGGGCCUAGCACAGAGCCCGGCACCAUGAGUGUGCAGAUACUCAGUAAAUAUUUAUUCAAUGCUUUUAUCUAUAGAUGCCAGACAUUCGGAUACCCAAGAACUUUAAGAUGAUGGAGUUUUGACUUCCCGUCUGAGCGUUGUAUGUCACACUCUGAUAUAAGCUGUGGAAAUGGUUUGAAGCAAUAGGAACCCAGACAUCUCAUGCUUGCGGACGCAGGCUGACUGUGGCAGGUCGAAAGUUCCUAGAAAGUACAUAGCUCCUCUCCUGAUGAGAACCAUUCACUGUGGCCAGAACGUGUCUGGGACAGUAGAGGUAACCAUGUGCACAGUGUAGAAUUAUAGUAAGGAGAAAAAUAACAUAAAGGUAGUUAAGCUGAGUGGUAUGCAUCAGUGACUGCCAACAUUAGGGUAUCUGAGGGAGGGGGAUAAUAAAUCCAGACUGCCUAGGGCUAUGUCAUGAGUUCACGAGCAGCCUGUGAAAAAAAUCUAUGAGACCCCCUAUCUCAGAAUAAACUCUGAAACAGUAAGAAGGCUGGGGACAUCACGUGUCAUUCACGCACGUCUCUGAGUUCAAGGCCAGCCUGCUCUACAUAGUUGGCACGAUGUGCUUGUGGUCCUAGGUUCAAUCUCAACACUGUGGAAAAAGACGAGAGGGCUCAGUGUUGUUUCCUGGAGACAAAAUUCACACUUAGGGAGUAUUUUGUGCCAGUGUUGUAUCAAAUGUUUGUUUGUUUUUUUUUUACUGUAGAAGAAAUAAUAUAUACUUUGACCUGGGAACUGGAAAAGAUGUUCUAUUGCAACAGGUAUUUGUAAAAGCCAAGCUUUCUAAAUAUGAAAGUGUUCGUUUCCCUCAGUUCUAUAUGGUAAAAAAAACAUGCAAAGUGUCAUUAUGAAUAAACUUCAGAAGCCACUUAAUAAAUUAUCAAUAUUAAACAAAUUGUAACUGUCUUGGUUGUAUUGUCCAGAAAAAAAAAGGUUUAGAAGUUCUCAGAAGGCUCUGAAAAGACGGAUAAGGCUGUUAAAUAAAUUGAAUUAAAAAAAACCCAUCUUUUUCAUAGGCAAUUGAAGGGCAAGCCUAUAUAAUAGUUUAGAAGUCUGUGUCUACACAGUUCAGGUAGAAUGCAUCAGAGGUCAUGGCGAAGCCUUACACGUGUGAGAUUACAUGAUCAGAAGCAAACAAGGAACCUGAAAUACACAGAAAUUUCACUGAUUUUAUUUUAAUACCCGCUGUGAAACAUAUAGUUCUUGUCAACUGAGAAAGUAUGCCUUUAAUGUUUAGCCAUCGGGUUCCAAAGGAUGGUGAAGGCUGGCUUUUAUUGAUGUCUUGUGGUUGCUAAAGAAAAAGAUACAUGCUCCAGGCCUUGGCUGAAAAUGUGGAAGCAUUCUUUGAGCAAUGGUUUCCAUUUUAACAAGGAGAACUUCACCUCUCUCCAUAGGUUGGUGGUGUUGCUUGGGACAGUUCAGCAAUGGUGCACACUGCUCUCAGGUCCCUCUGAAGAUGAAGCACUUCCUUUGUUCCUUCCUUGCCUGCCCACAUCUUUCUUUCUCAUGUGUAUGUCUACUGCAGCAUGUGCAUGGAGGUCAGAGGUCAACUUUCAGUCGUCAGUUCUCUCCCUCCACCAUGGGAGUCCAAGGAUCGAACUCACAUCCUCAGGCUUGCUGGCAAGUACCUUACACAGUGAGCCAUCUCACUGGCUCUAAAGUUGGAACACUUCGG
rnacentral:sRNA from 1 species